UCUGAAUUCCAAAACCAUGAAGGAGCCAUGCCUUUAGAUGAAGGAGACAUAGAUUGGGAUGAAGGAUUCAGCCCAUGUCCUGCAGGAGGAUGUGUGGAAUCAGUUGCAGGGUUAUCGGAGAACAUACCGUCAUACGUAGGAGGCAGUCCAGGAUCUUAGAAAGCAGGACUCAUGAAGCUCGAGACGAUGGAGGGAGCACCAGGAUUGGAAGCGUUUCCACCUCUGGAGAUGCUCUGGGCAGGAGGGCAGCAUGAGCGGCUCCGGAGAACCUGUCUGGUCAGGUA